rnacentral:rRNA from 1 species
GAUGAACGCUGGCGGCGUGCCUAAUACAUGCAAGUCGAGCGAACAGACGAGGAGCUUGCUCCUCUGACGUUAGCGGCGGACGGGUGAGUAACACGUGGAUAACCUACCUAUAAGACUGGGAUAACUUCGGGAAACCGGAGCUAAUACCGGAUAAUAUAUUGAACCGCAUGGUUCAAUAGUGAAAUACGGUUUUGCUGUCACUUAUAGAUGGAUCCGCGCCGCAUUAGCUAGUUGGUAAGGUAACGGCUUACCAAGGCAACGAUGCGUAGCCGACCUGAGAGGGUGAUCGGCCACACUGGAACUGAGACACGGUCCAGACUCCUACGGGAGGAAGCAGUAGGGAAUCUUCCGCAAUGGGCGAAAGCCUGACGGAGCAAAGCCGCGUGAGUGAUGAAGGUCUUCGGAUGGUAAAACUCUGUUAUUAGGGAAGAACAAAUGUGUAAGUAACUAUGCACGUCUUGACGGUACCUAAUCAGAAAGCCACGGCUAACUACGUG